CUCAACUUGUGAGGGAUUCACCUAUAUUACCUCUGCACCUGUAAUAAGACUAAGAAGACGGUGGCUGCACAUGUAGUUAACACCGAUUGUACCGCGACUUCGCCUUUCCGCAGCCUUUGUACCAACCUGCAGAGCCCUUUUGAGCCAAGAGCUGGACUUGGGGAGUAAAGAAGCUCAUUGUAAACGCCAGGAGGAAUUUCUUCAGGGUGAAGUUGACUUCCAAUCGGCUUCAUUCUAAAGGAAACAUGUGGAGCAAACAAACGGGAACUUUCUUUCUCAUCUUCUGCAUUUCAAGCCUAAUAAAAUUAGACGUUUCCACUGUCCUGCUCAGUCUCGAAGCUGUCGGCAGAUUCCGCUUUUAACUCUCAACACAGACACUCAGGAAAUCGGGAAAUCCCUGCAGCUCCCUCAGAAGCUAUCAGUAUCAGCGGUUCCCGAACCCGCAAACAAAAAACGCAACAUCACGUGCUCCUCCAAAGAGCCUAGCCUGUCUAUCGAGCGAUGGAAAGAGCGGCGAGGCGCUCUCGCAGCCGUGGCAGUCUGGACGAAAAGAACCAGGUCCCUUUCCUGGUCUAGCCUACCUCCCUACCUCUCUUCCCUCAUAUCCAGAAGAAGCGACGGAGAGUGAGAAUAUCUAUAACCAGCAUCCAGGAGGGAUACUGUCUGAUGAAACCUGCUUAGCUGAGGACUGGCUGUGUGUGUGCCUCCAGACCAAUCAUAUGUUUGUUUUGAGACACAUUUUUUGGAGGAAGGUAAUAC
rnacentral:lncRNA from 1 species